UCGUUGCAAGGCUUCCAGUCAGUUGGCUGGAGAACGAAAGUGGGCAGGGAGGAAGUCAGAAGGGAAAGGGAAAGAGCGAGCCGAUUCUGCUUGCGGGAACAUUCGCCUGGCCGGCUGGGAUGCCCCCCAGGGGGCGGUGCCCUUUUCCCGGCGACCUCCGGGAGCGGGGCGGGGCCGGGUUUGUUUCCAUUUUGAAAACCCGGGCGCGGGCGGCGGUGGAGCUGAGCUUCCCGGGAGGGGCGAGGUCCGGGGAGGCGGGGCAGCUGAGCGCCCUCUGCCGGGUUUUCCGAGUUCGCGGUCACCCUUCCCUGCGUUGGGGUGGCAGUCCGUUGAUUUGACCUCAAUAUAGAGAGCCUUAGCAUGUGUGUGGGCCCACAAGAUCCUUGCUGAAAAAGAGAAGACAUCACUGUAAGGUCAGUGAAUUCAGGGGGAGCCAGGAUGAUAUUGUAAGUAGUUAAUAAUUACCCUGACCAUGCUAUCUAGACUGAAGCUCUCCCAAGGCAACGCUUAGUGCAGAGCCCUGCAGAGAAGUUUCUUUUAAAAAAGCAAAAUUGUGGAAUAAGUGAAGUAUGUCAGUGACUUUUCACUUCCUUUUUUCAUUAUACUUUCGACCUGCUUCUGAAACCACCAUGAUGACUUCAGAGACCAGGGCCCUCUGAUGGCCCCUGAAAGCGCAGGGUUCCCAGCCAGACUUGACUGUCCUGUGCUUUGGACUUAUCCUUGGGUAGGUGUGCCCUGGAGUGUUUUCAUUACCUUUUAUGUAAUAAUUCCCACAAAUUUCAAUAGGUUGUGAUUCAUUACAUGCUUAAUCAAAUAUUACUUGUAUAUCUUUGUGAGAACUGGUACGUGAUUUAAUUUACAAAAUCAGUAAAAGAAAGUCCUUGCUUAAACCAUACAUCCUGAGUUUUGCUUCUGAAAAUACCAAUGCUGUAUCUACAAACCCAGCUCCAGUAUAUCCACACUGAGGUGCUGAUGAUAGAUAAAAGCUUAAUAAAUAACCCUUUCCAGAAGAAUGGGUACUGCAACACACAUUGCCUUAACCCACAGACAUUGCCUCUCUUCCUUUCUUGUUAUCUUGCUAAUCAGUUGUGGGAGCCCUUUUCUACCUUAAUAUCAUUUCAACAUAGUGAUUCAGACUUCUGUUGGUCGACUGGUAUUGGCCUGUGAUACAUGAUCUGCUUACCAUCCAAUUUAAAGGAAUGGAACUCCAGAGGUGGGAUUGAAGGCAGCAACAAGGAACCAGACUCAUAGCCCAGCCCAGCCCAGAUGACAGUCUGCAGGGAUACGAGUUCUACUUCCCACUGUUAACAAGGCGCUCAACCCUGGGCAAGUCACUUGACUCCUUCUCAUCUAUAACAUGAGAGAGAAAGACAGAGUGUGAGCAGGGAAAGGGCAGAGAGAGAAGGAGACACAGAAUCUGAAGGAGGCUCCAGGCUCUGAGCUGUCAGUACAGAGCCCAAUGAGGGUUCAAACUCAUGGACUACGAGAUCAUGACCUGAGCCAAAGUCAGACACUUACCCGACUAAGCCACCCAGGGGGCUCAGAAAUAUUCCUUUGCUUUGAAUGUCCUCCAUCUGGAAGAGUUUAGCUAAUUAAACCAAAGAUCACGGAUGAGUUGGCCCCAUUUAUCUCCAAUGGAUGAAAUCCUUUUCUCUCCAGAGGAUUCUUCAGACAAAUAUCAAGGCAGUCCCUUGCUUCACCCAGUGGGCCUUCCGAUCUCUUCCUUAGCAAGGCAAUGUGGUGCUGAGCACCAGAAAAUUCCCAGGGAGAGCCUCUGCCAAAAUGCAAAACCAAGGAAAAAGGAUAAAAGCAACAGUUUUGGACCAGGCUGGCAGAAAUGGUAAACCCCAUCUGCCAUAUUUGCUUUUUCUUAAUCUAAAAUAACAGAGAUAACAUACACAAUGGAGUUUCUAACUUGCCACUUUUCCCUUAUCUUUUUUCCCUUUGUGAGCCUAAGACAUCGUGUUCUUUCAUAUAACCUCUCUCUCUCAAAAAAAAAAAAAAAAAAAAAAAAACCAACAACAACAAAAACAAAAAAAAACCCUUGGCCAUUCCGUUCCCUGCCGCCCAUGGAGAAGAACAGACUCUAUCUGAUAUUUCAGCUGGAAGGCAGGGUGGCAGAUUCUUUCCAAUGGGGUGGCGACUUCCUCCCUACUCUCAGAACACACCCCUUCCCAAAAAUACGCCCUCCUGGGCAAGCAGCACAAAGGGAAUGUCAGCAAAUGCCCACAUCCCUUCCUUUUCCUUUUACACCCAGUGGCCUGGGAAUGGCGGGCACGCUCGGGGAAUGCACACCACCAAUCGGUGUGCGGCCCCAUGGGGCCUGUAAAGCGGCCUUGCUCUCAUCUCUUGCCCUCUUGGACCGUCUUCCAAACCAACUGCCAGAAGGGAUUGUCCUAAAACGCAAAUCUGAUCAUUUCAUUUCAUCUACUUAAGAACUUGCUGUGGCCUUUUGGCCCACAAUGAGGGUUCCCAAACUCCUGCCUGAGGUCUAUGCCAGCUAUAUAAGAAGCAUUGUAUUCAGAUGUAGUUUGUAGAGUUUAGGUUAGAACCUGGGGAUCUGCCUAUGUUAGCCUGAAUUCUUUAGGUUGGUAAGUGACAGUAACUCAUCUCAAACUAGCUUAGGUCAAAAAAGGAAUCUAUUAUUUCCUCUGACAAGGAAGUUUAGGGGGUAAAAUGAUCUCAAUUAUAUGUGAGAUUUUAAUUUAUGGAGGUAACUAAAUGAUGAUGUGGAGACGUCAAUACCAUUGAAAGACUAAAGUAUUAAUUAAUUACCUAAGAGGAGAGGGUAUGCUAUGCCACACAGGACCAUUUGGGGAAGCACGAGGUGGAAGGGAGCGGGGGUGGAGUGGGAUCGUUGAGGGGGCGUAGACCACAGCCUUUGUUGGGAUUCCUGCGGGACAGGCAAGGCAGUUUAGGACUAGCUAGUUUGAAUAAAUCAGGUGGCCUUUGGGGGUUAGCAACUGUACCUGGUAGUCUGUUACUGGGCCCUGGGUUGAUUUAGGGCAGGGGACAUAACGUCUUGGUGGUGUGAAUUCCCUGAAGGAGGUGACUUCAGAGUAUCAACUCUGGAUCUCAGGGGAGAUGUAAACAACUUCAGCUGUUACUUUGGGUGCCAAAGAGACCGAUGUAGAAUCUAAGAAAACACAAUUAGAACAAGAGCUGGCUUCAGUGGGAAUGGCUUUAGAGGUGUGCUAAUAAUGCAGCCACGAGCUACAUGUGGCUGUUGAACACUUAGAACGUGGGUAACACAAACUGAAAUGUGAUGGAGGUGUGAAACACAUGCCGGCUUUCAGACAGCAUAACGAAGAGAAAACUUGUAUAGCCCAGUGAUUUGACAAUUCUGUGCGUUGCUCAGUGCUCACCAGCAUCGGUGUGGUUGCCAUCUGUCACCCGCAACAUUAUUACAGUAUUAUCGACUAUAUUUCCUAUGCUGUAAAAAACAAAACAAAACAAAAAAACCCUAUGUCAUUAAUGAUCUUUCAACUUUUUUUUUAAUGUUAUUUAUUUUUGAAAGAGAGAGAGAGAGUGUAUGUGAGUGCAAGUAGGGGAGGGGCAGAGAGAGAGAGGGGAACAGAGGAUGUGAAGUGGGCUCCACAGUGUCAGCACAGAGCCCGACAUGGGGCUCGAACCCAAGAACUGCGAGGUCAUGACCUGAGCCAAAGUUGGAUGCUCAACCAACUGAGCCGCCCAGGUGCCCCUAUGAUCUGUUAUAUUGAUUACAUGUUGAAAAUAAUAUUUAAUAUUUUGGAAAUAUUGGAUUAAAUAAAAUAUAGCAUGGAAAUUAAUUUCAUCUGUUUCCUUUUACUUUUCUUAACAUAGACACUAGAAACUUGAAACAGCACGUGCAGCUUGCACUUUGAGAGAGAGACAGAACGUGAGCUGGGGAGAAAGGCAGAGGGAGAGGAAGACACAGAAUCUGAAGCAGGCUCCAAGCUCUGAGCUGUCAGCACAGAGCCUGAUGGUGGGGCUCGAACUCAUGAACCGCGAGAUCAUGACUUCAGCCCAAGUCGGUUGCUUAACCGACCGAGCCACCCAGGCGCCCCUGGUUCACAUUAUAUUUCUAUUGGACAGCAGUCGUCAGGAUCAAAUGUUCUCUUUCUCUCUAUGGACUCUGCUCUUUUUACGUAUAUUUGUAAUUCAUUCUCUCCUACUUUAAACUGUCUUCCGUGUGUCUGCGAAGAUGGCUGCUGGUAUUUCCAAGCUUAUAGAAUUCCAGCUUCUCAAUGCCAUCCAAACGGGAAGUUCUUUCUUCCAUUGUUCAUAUAUCAAUCUCGGGGAAAGACACUCAAUGGCCCUGCUGAUGUCACAUUCCACCCCUUGGACAAAGCACUAUUGACAGGAAAACAGGUUCCUGUGACUUGUCAUGAAUUGCGUACCCAUCAAAUAGGGGUGGAGCAUCUGCGUGGCAUGGGAGAGGUGCACUACCCCAUAUGAUGAAAGGAACUCGUGGUUACUAAUGUGGUUUCAUUACACUUCCCAGGUGAUUCUGAUGCACAGUAAAGUUUGUUACGCGCCAGACCCUGGAGGUAAAACCCAACUGUAUUAGUGUGUGUUCGUGGUGCUUAUUAGGCCUUCUGUGGUCUGGUCUCCUGCUGACUUUAAUCUCUUGUCAGUUCCCUUCUCUUUCCUAGCUAUAUGUCAACAUUGUAUUGUUUAAAAUUUCUUGCAGCUCCCUAAACACUCCAUGCUGAAAACAUUUACUAUAGAAAUUGUCAAAUACACAUAAAAGUAGAGAGGAUAGUAUACUGAUCCCUCCAUAUACUAUCACCCAGCUUCAACAAUUAUCAGUGAAUGACCGAUCUUGUCCCACCCAUGCCCCCAUUACUUUUCCUAAUGGAUUAGUUGGAAGCAAAUUUCCAACAUCAUAUUGUUUCAUCUGUGAAUAUCGCAAUAAGUAUAUCUAUGGAUUAAGGAUCCUUAAAACAAGGUAAUCACAAUACCAUGUGGACUCUCAAAAACACAAUACUUCCUUGUUAUCAAAUAUCCAGCAGGUGUUCAAAUUUCUGUGGAUUGCUGGAGCUGGUUUCUCUGAUAUCCAAACAAGGUCGUUGGUAUGUCUCUCAGAUUUCUUUUAACCCAUAGGCUUCCCACCCUCUUUUUCUAACCUCGCAAGUUGUUUAUCGAAGAAACUGAGUAUUUUGUCUUGUAGAGUUACCCACAUAUUAGAUUUUAAUGGUGGCGACCUUAUGGUGUCGUUUCACAUGUUUGUUCUCUGCAUUUCCUAUAAACUGGUACUUAGAUUUCAAGCAGUGUUGCCCAAUAAAAAUAUCAUGUAAAUCACAAAGGCAAUUUUAA